GGACCCGCACAAGUAGUGGAGCAUGUGGUUUAAUUCGAUGAUACGCGAGGAACCUUACCAGGGCUUAAAUGUAGUGGGACAGGUCUAGAGAUAGACCCUUCUUCGGACUCAUUACAAGGUGCUGCAUGGUUGUCGUCAGCUCGUGCCGUGAGGUGUCAGGUUAAGUCCUAUAACGAGCGCAACCCCUAUCGUUAGUUGCCAGCGAGUAAUGUCGGGAACUCUAACGAAACUGCCAGUGCAAACUGUGAGGAAGGUGGGGAUGACGUCAAAUCAUCACGGCCCUUACGUCCUGGGCUACACACGUGCUACAAUGGCCGGUACAGAGAGCAGCCACUUCGCAAGAAGGAGCGAAUCUAUAAAACCGGUCUCAGUUCGGAUCGCAGUCUGCAACUCGACUGCGUGAAGCUGGAAUCGCUAGUAAUCG
rnacentral:rRNA from 1 species